CAAGCUGAACUGACAACUAGAUUUUAAGAUGCAGAGGGACCUGCUACAUCUGAAUGGGGAACUGGUUUUGCUUGCAGCAGACUGUUCUGUAUCUGAGUCCUGUCCUCAUUAGGCUGAAGAAUCCUUGAGUCACCCAAAAUCUAGAGAAAAGAAAAAUCCCAAAUGUCUGAGAAAGAAGAGGACACAGCCUGUGUCCCUGGGUCUAGAAGGCUUCUAAAUGCAUAUCCAUCAAUUUGACUGAAAAGUGGAAGGUGUGGCUGUUGAUGGUUAGAGAAGGCCUUUGAGUCAUACAAAUCCAGCAGUUUAAUGACUUGAUCAACAAUCAAGAGAGAUUGAAUCCUGAAAAACCGUUCAGGCACAAAGGUUGAUGAGAUUUAUCUGAUCUUGGACUUCCACCUACCCUGUGUUGGUUACGCAUGGGAAUAUCAACAAGGCCAGCGGUUCUAUGAUCAUCUGGGGUUUGGGACAGAAUCAUUAUGUCCUUACUGACAUUCCAAUGGACAGUUGCAAGUUGGCCCCACUGCAGUUCUCUGGGAGCCCACUCUUGGAAUGGAUUUCAGUGCAGUACCUCUGAGGAGAGGCUAAGGGACUUUUAACCUCAGAGCUCAAAAUUCAAGGUUCCAUUUGAUUAUAUUAUUUUAAUGUUUGUUUAACAUUGUAGUUCAUCUAACAAAAUAGGAAAACCACAUUUGUGUCAGCAUAAACUAUCUUGGGAUACUUAAAAAGUGUGAAGUCCAUGCAUAAAACAUCUGAAAAGAUUUCCAUUAAGGAAAAUACAUCUAGUGUUGGUGAUGUUUAUUAUCAGCAAGAGAAUGGGAGAAAAAAAGUGCAUUUGAAAAAUUCAAUUCAGCAUUUCUCAAGUCUUCCUUAUGGAUAUUAUUUAUUUGUCUUUCUUUAAAAUAUGAAUGAAGUCAGUGAAAAUGCUCUGUGUUGGAGGCUCUUCAAAUUUCAGAUGGAAAAACCCAGGCUGUGUACUCUUGGUGUUCAUGAAAAAAUCAAUAAUUGUGGCAUUAGGAAGGACUGCUUCUUUGGUCCUUUUCUUAAGAUUUGCUACUCUUACUAUUAUCUUCAUAUUCCCAUGCAUCUGUGUAUUUUUCUUCCAUGCUUCUUCUCUUUACUCCAUCGGGCAGUAUUUCUCAGUUCUUUAUGGUUGUAAAAUUGGAAAGAACAAAGGAUUCAGUAAGAACUUAUUUGGUGGAUGAGAAAUUCAACAUGACCUGGCAAUUGCUUACAGCCCAGAAGGCCAAUAGGAUCCUGGGCAGUGUCAAAAGGAGUGUAGCCAGCAGGGAAGGGAGAUGAUUCUUCCCCUCUAAUUUUUUUCUUGUGAGAACCCACCUGGAGUGUUGCAUCCAGCUGUGGAGUCCUCAGCACAGGAAAGAUGUGGACCUGGUAGAGGGCCACAAAAAUUAUCAGAGGCUUGGAGGACCUUUGAAGACAGACUGAGAGGAGUUGUUCAUCCUGCAGAAGAGAAGGCCCUGGGGACACCUAAAGCUGCAUUUGGAUGCAAUGGAGGGCUACAGGAGACCUGGAGAGGGACUUUUUAUGAGGGCUUGUAGUGGUAGGACAAGGGAGAAUGUGUCACUGUUGGGUAAGAAAAGACACAGACUCACCAAAAGGCUGAUUUGCACUUAACUUUGAAUUCACUCUUUUUGUACAUUGUUCCAAUACAGAUGGACCAGAUUGGUCAAUUAAUCAAUACAUUCCACCUGAUUGGAUAAUUAACAACGUGCCUUUCUUAUAAACAAUCCUUGUGAAAAACAGGAAAACAGAGUAGGAAAACAACACCUGCAGGUUGUUCAUGAUAAUAAGCUACUGUUGUUUAUCUUCAACUCCCUAAAGUCUCACAAGCUGAUUCUGGGAAAAUUUAGCUAAUUUUCUCACUCUCUGACCAGGCUGUCACAUCCACAGGAAUGGCUUUAAAUUGGAUGAGGGUAGAUUUGAAGAUUUCAGAGAAGCUGUGGAUGUGCCACUUCUGGAGGUGUUCAGGGCCAAAGUGGGUGAGGCUUUCAGCAACCUAGUCUAGUGGAAGGUAUCCCAGCCUAUGGCAGAGGGUUGUAACUAGAUUUUAUUUAUGGUCCCUUCCAACCCAGACCAUUCUGUGGCUCUAUGAUAAUUUUGCUUCUUCUGUUAACUAUGUUUCCUUCAAUUAAAUGCAUUUCAAUUCAUCA